GACGAACGCUGGCGGCGUGCUUAACACAUGCAAGUCGAACGGAAAGGCCCCUUUUUUGUGGCUCGAUUGGGUGACGGGUGGGUAACACGCGAGUAACCUGCCCGUGACUUCCUUUUAACUUCCGUAAACUAGGUCGAGUACCGAAUUGGUAGCCUUUCUUCAUGGUUGGUGUUGGAAAGCUUCGUCGGUUUUGGAUGGACUCGCGGCUGAUCAGCUUGUUUGUGGGGUAGUGGCUUACCAAGGCUUUGACGGGUAGCCGGCCUGAGAGGGCGACCGGCCACAUUGGGACUGAGAUACGGCCCAGACUCCUACGGGAGGCAGCAGUGGGGAAUAUUGCACAAUGGGCGGAAGCCUGAUGCAGCAACGCCGCGUGCGGGAUGACGGCCUUCGGGUUGUAAACCGCUUUCAGCAGGGGCGAAGCGUUUGUGACGGUAACUGCAGAAGAAGCACCGGCUAACUACGUG
rnacentral:rRNA from 1 species